AGUCAAGUUAUGAAGGGCAUACGGUGGAUGCCUAGGCGCCAAAAGCCGACGAAGGACGGGGUAAGCUCCGAAAAGUCAGGGGGAACCGCAAGCAGGUAGAGAUCCCUGAAUAUCCGAAUGGGGGAACCCGGCGGUGGUUAUGCACCGUCACCUAACAAAAGUUAGGGGGGCACCCGGGGAACUGAAACAUCUAAGUACCCGGAGGAAAAGUAAUCAAACGAGAUUCCCAAAGUAGCGGCGAGCGAACGGGGAAGAGCCCAAACCAGAAAGCUUCGGCUUUAUGGGGUUGAGGACCAGCAAAAGUUGAGUCAGGCCAAGCUGAACUACCUGGAAAGGUAGACCGUAGGAGGUAACAGUCCUGUAAGCGAAAGGCAGAGCAAGACGGCUGGAAUCCAGAGUACCACGAGACACGAGAAACCUUGUGGGAAGCAGGGGAGACCACUCUCCAAGGCAAAAUACUUUUGGCGACCGAUAGCGCAUAGUACCGUGAGGGAAAGGUGAAAAGCACCCCGGGAGGGGAGUGAAAGAGAACCUGAAACCGUAUGUCUACAAGCAGUCGAAGACCUGUAUAUGGUCGACGGCGUGCCUAUUGAAGAAUGAACCGGCGAGUUACAGUAGCUAGCGAGGUUAAGUAGGAAAUACGGAGCCGAAGCGAAAGCGAGUCUUAAGAGGGCGAAGAGUUAGCUAUUGUAGACCCGAAACCGCAGUGAUCUAUCCAUGUCCAGGUUGAAGCGCAGGUAAAAAUGCGUGGAGGACCGAACCCGUGAACGUUGAAAAGUUUUGGGAUGAGAUGUGGAUAGGGGUGAAAUGCCAAUCGAACGCGGAGAUAGCUGGUUCUCCCCGAAAUAGCUUUAGGGCUAGCCUCAAGAAAUAAGUACAGACGGUAGAGCACUGAUCGGGCUAGGGGCCAUAAAGGUUACCGAACCCAGUCAAACUUCGAAUGGCUGUACUGGAAUCUUGGGAGUCAGACUGCGAAUGAUAAGAUCCGUAGUCAAGAGGGAAAGAGCCCAGACCAUCAGCUAAGGUCCCCAAUGCCGUGCUAAGUGGCAAAGGAUGUGAAACUUCAGAAACAACCAGGAUGUUGGCUUAGAAGCAGCCACCAUUCAAAGAGUGCGUAAUAGCUCACUGGUCGAGAGGUUUUGCGCCGAAGAUGUCCGGGGCUAAAGCACGGAACCGAAGCUAUGGAUUUGAGAGGUGGGAGGCGAGAAGUUAGAAGUGGGAAUUCAAAGCUAUGAAGACUUGGAAGUAUAUCAACAAAGUUUUCGACUAGCAGUGGAAAUUCACAAACUAACCCAAAGCUUUCCCAUAGAAGAAAAGCGAGAACUAGGGUAUCAAAUGAGAAGAGCGGCAGUAUCCAUAGCAGCUAACAUAGCGGAAGGAUAUGGGCGCAAGAACUCAACAGCAGAAUUCAAGCAUUUUCUGCGAAAUGCUCUAGGAUCCAGCAAUGAAGUCAGCGUAUUACUGAAACUUGCCAAAGAAAUCGGAUAUCCGAUAGAAAGAAAAAUCAUAGAUGAAUACGAAGUAGUAGGCAAGCGGCUGUACCGACUGAUAGAAAGCUGGAAAUGAAGAAGUGAGAAGAACUCACAUCUAACCUCUCGCAUCUCACCUCUCAAGUGGUAGGGGAGCGUUCCAUACACGACGAAGGUAUACCGGAAGGAGUGCUGGAGAGGAUGGAAGUGAGAAUGCCGGUAUGAGUAGCGAAAAGGAAGGUGAGAAUCCUUCCCACCGAAAGCCUAAGGAUUCCUGAGCAACGAUCGUCGACUCAGGGUAAGUCGGGACCUAAGCCGAGGCGAGGAUGCGUAGGCGAUGGACAACUGGCAAAGAUUCCAGUACCACCUAAAGUCGAUUGAGCAAUGGAGUGACACAGGAGGGAAGUUAAGCGCGCGAAUGGAAGAGCGCGUCUAAGCCGGUAGGAUGAACGGGAGGCAAAUCCCCCGUUCGAAGAUCCGAGAAGUGAAGGGGAGCUAAAGGAAACUUUGGCGAAGUUAACCGGACCACACUGUCAAGAAAAGCUUCUAGCGAGACUGAAGGUGCCCGUACCGCAAACCGACACAGGUAGGCGGGGAGAGGAUCCUAAGGUGCGCGGGAAAACCCUCGUUAAGGAACUCGGCAAAAUGUCCCCGUAACUUCGGGAAAAGGGGAGCCAUGCUUGGUGAAGACCUAAACGGUUGGAGCGAAGCAAGGCCGCAGAAGAGAGGCCCAAGCGACUGUUUACCACAAACACAGGUGCCUGCUAAAGCGAAAGCUGACGUAUAGGUGCUGACACCUGCCCGGUGCUGGAAGGUUAAGGGGAGCGCUUAGCGGUAACGCGAAGGUGAGAACCGAAGCCCCAGUAAACGGCGGCCGUAACUAUAACGGUCCUAAGGUAGCGAAAUUCCUUGUCGGGUAAGUUCCGACCCGCACGAAAGGUGUAACGACUUGGGCACUGUCUCAACGAGGGACCCGGUGAAAUUGAAAUACCUGUGAAGAUGCAGGUUACCCGCGACUGGACAGAAAGACCCCAUGGAGCUUUACUGCAACCUGACAUUGGAUCUUGGUAAAGGAUGUACAGGAUAGGUGGGAGACGGAGAAGAUUGGACGCUAGUCUGAUUGGAGUCGAUGUUGGGAUACCACCCUUCCUUUAGUGGGAUUCUAACUUAAGGAGUAACGAAACUAAGGACAGUGUCAGGCGGGCAGUUUGACUGGGGCGGUCGCCUCCGAAAGAGUAACGGAGGCGCCCAAAGGUUCCCUCAGCGCGGACGGAAAUCGCGCGAAGAGUGCAAAGGCAGAAGGGAGCUUGACUGCGAGACGGACAGGUCGAGCAGGGACGAAAGUCGGGCUUAGUGAUCCGGUGGUGCCGAGUGGAAGGGCCAUCGCUCAACGGAUAAAAGCUACCCUGGGGAUAACAGGCUAAUCUCUCCCAAGAGUCCAUAUCGACGGGGAGGUUUGGCACCUCGAUGUCGGCUCAUCACAUCCUGGGGCUGAAGUAGGUCCCAAGGGUUGGGCUGUUCGCCCAUUAAAGUGGUACGUGAGCUGGGUUCAGAACGUCGUGAGACAGUUCGGUCCCUAUCCAUCGCGGGCGCAAGAGACUUGAAGGGAACUGCUCCUAGUACGAGAGGACCGGAGUGGACGAACCAAUGGUGUACCAGUUAUUCCGCCAGGAGUACAGCUGGGUAGCUACGUUCGGAAAGGAUAAACGCUGAAAGCAUCUAAGCGUGAAACCAGCCUUAAGAUGAGGUCUCUCAUAGCGCAGGCUAGUAAGGCCCCUUAUAGAAGAUAAGGUAGAUAGGCCAGGAGUGGAAGUCUUGCAAGAGAUGGAGCUGACUGGUACUAAUCGGCCGAGGGCUUGACUUA
rfam:Propionispora sp. 2/2-37 isolate 2/2-37 genome assembly, contig: 2/2_contig34